GUGGGGAAUUUUGGACAAUGGGCGAAAGCCUGAUCCAGCCAUGCCGCGUGCAGGAUGAAGGCCUUCGGGUUGUAAACUGCUUUUGUACGGAACGAAAAGACUCCUUCUAAUAAAGGGGGUCCAUGACGGUACCGUAAGAAUAAGCACCGGCUAACUACGUGCCAGCAGCCGCGGUAAUACGUAGGGUGCAAGCGUUAAUCGGAAUUACUGGGCGUAAAGCGUGCGCAGGCGGUUAUAUAAGACAGAUGUGAAAUCCCCAGGCUCAACCUGGGAACUGCAUUUGUGACUGUAUAGCUAGAGUACGGUAGAGGGGGAUGGAAUUCCGCGUGUAGCAGUGAAAUGCGUAGAUAUGCGGAGGAACACCGAUGGCGAAGGCAAUCCCCUGGACCUGUACUGACGCUCAUGCACGAAAGCGUGGGGAGCAAACAGGAUUAGAAACCCCUGUAGUCC
rnacentral:rRNA from 1 species